GAGGAGGAAGAUAGACUCAGCAUGCUGAUGGAUGCCAUUUUACUGUCCAUCUUGUGGAGAGUCGAUCUAAGCACAGCUGCAAGGACGAGCUCGUUGUCUACACGGUGGAGGUGCCUUCCUUGGUUGUUGCCUGAGAUCAACAUUGAUGCCAAAAGUUUCCUACCAAUUCCAUGCCCCAACCCUAUUAAGGAAAAUGAUAUAGAGGAAGCAAUGACCUCUCUAACUAAGGCAACCAGGAGUUUCUUGGUUAAGCGACAUGGAGAAUCCAGCAUCUCAACUCUGCACCUUAGGAUCUACCUCAGCAACUCUUCCUUGAGCAAAGUUGGCCCACUAGUAGGUGAUGCAGUAGAGAGUGGUUUUGUGAAAGAUUUGGACCUUGCCAUUCUUUACAGGAGUAAUAUAUGGGAUUGUGAUGAGGAGGGUAUGCUACGGCGAGGUCAAGCAAUAGAUGGUUUUUUCAGUGCCUAUCCAAAUGUGCUCCAUUGCCUCACAAGGCUCUCUCUAUACACUGUACGCUUUGAGAAAUCGGACAUGCACCAUGUCCUGUUUGACUGCUGCAAGCAACUGAAGCAUCUAGCCCUUUACCAUUGUGAUAUUGGUGCUAACUCUGUGUUUAAGAUUGAUGCGCCCAAUUCAAAGCUCCUUGUUCUCGAACUCACCUAUUGUCGUUUUGAGCUACUUGAGUUGGUCUGCCUUCCGAAAUUGGAGAAGCUUACAUGUAGCACUUGGGUAUCUCGCCAUGCUCCUUUGGCCUUUGAUUUUGUCCCGUCUCUUGGGGAACUAGCAUGCUCAUGCGAUGCGAUACCUUGUCAAAAUGAAUUUAAAUUAAGUGAGCUUCUGCAUGGAACUACUUGCAUACAUACUCUCAAAUUGUGUUUCAAAGGAGAAAAUCUUUGGAUGCAACCUGAGAUGAAGCAACUCUGCACCGCAUUUAAUAAGCUAAGUAAGCUGUCUGUGAGCUGUAUCUUUGUUGAGUUUGACAUUUUAUGGACGACAGCGUUUCUUGUGGCAGCCCCAUCUAUCGAAAUAUUACAUAUUGAGGUGUGGGAACAUGCAUGCGAUGUGGAUGAUGAGUUCAGACAACCGGACUUCCUUGAGAGAAGGACUCCUGAGUGGGAGAUGCACUUUGACGGCUCCAAGAACUGGCAUUUGAAGGAGCUAGAAUUCACUGGCUUUAGAUCACUAGAACAACAAUUUAUGUUUAUAAGAUCCUUGCUAGAGCGAGCUCCCAAUUUGCAGACGAUAAUUCUAAAAGGGGAUGAGCAAUGCGAGUACUGUGAUGCCCUUGAUACACCACCUCGUCCUUCUAAAUUUCCAAAGAAGGGUGAACAAGAAAUGGUGGUUAGACGAAUUCGAGAUGACAUAUUCUCGCCAUGA
rnacentral:rRNA from 1 species